rnacentral:rRNA from 1 species
AAGCCUACAAGCUAGCUCACCCACCACCUCAACAACAAAUUCAAUAACCCCUAACCAACUUAAACCCUAUAAACAAACCAUUUUUCCCCCUGAGUACAGGAGAUAGAAAAGGAACAAGAAGCAACAGACAAAGUACCGCAAGGGAAAGCUGAAAGAGAAGUGAAACAAAUCACACAAGCCCACAAUAGCAGAGACUCCCCCUCGUACCUUUUGCAUCAUGAUUUAACAAGAAAACCUCAAGCAAAGAGCCCCAUAGUUUGAGACCCCGAAACUAAAGCGAGCUACUUCAAGACAGCCUAUCUCAGGGCCAACCCUUCUCUGUGGCAAAAGAGUGGGAAGAUCUUCAAGUAGAGGUGACAAGCCUACCGAGCCUAGUUAUAGCUGGUUGCCCGAGAAACGAAUAGAAGUUCAGCCCUCUAUCCCCCUCACCCAACAUGUAAACCCAACAAGACACAAGGGGUGAUAAAGGAGUAAAUCAAAGGAGGUACAGCUCCCUUGAAAAAGACACAACUUAUCUAAGAGGCCAAAGAUCAUA